rnacentral:rRNA from 1 species
GUUGUAUGGUUAAGUGACUAAGCGUACACGGUGGAUGCCUUGGCAGUCAGAGGCGAUGAAAGACGUAGUAACUUGCGAUAAGCCCAGAUUAGGUAGUAACAACCAUUUGAGUCUGGGAUUUCUGAAUGGGGAAACCCACGUGCAUAAGCACGUAUCCUUACCUGAAUACAUAGGGUAAGGAGGCGAACCGGGGGAACUGAAACAUCUAAGUACCCCGAGGAAAAGAAAUCAACCGAGAUUCCGAAAGUAGCGGCGAGCGAAAUUGGACUAGCCCUUAAGCUUUACACGCGUUAGACGAACGGUCUGGAAAGUCCGACGAUACAGGGUGAUAGUCCCGUAGUUGACGACGUGUGUUCAGUGAAAUCGAGUAGGGCGGGACACGUGAUAUCCUGUCUGAAUAUGGGGGGACCAUCCUCCAAGGCUAAAUACUACUGACUGACCGAUAGUGAACCAGUACCGUGAGGGAAAGGCGAAAAGAACCCCUGUGAGGGGAGUGAAAUAGAACCUGAAACCGUGUACGUACAAGCAGUAGGAGCAGGCUUUGUCCUGUGACUGCGUACCUUUUGUAUAAUGGGUCAGCGACUUAUAUUCAGUGGCAAGGUUAACCAUCUAGGGGAGCCGUAGGGAAACCGAGUCUUAACUGGGCGUUCAGUCUCUGGAUAUAGACCCGAAACCAGGUGAUCUAGCCAUGGGCAGGUUGAAGGUUGAGUAACAUCAACUGGAGGACCGAACCGACUAAUGUUGAAAAAUUAGCGGAUGACUUGUGGCUAGGGGUGAAAGGCCAAUCAAACCUGGAGAUAGCUGGUUCUCCCCGAAAGCUAUUUAGGUAGCGCCUCGGACGAAUACUACUGGGGGUAGAGCACUGUUAAGGCUAGGGGGUCAUCCCGACUUACCAACCCUUUGCAAACUCCGAAUACCAGUAAGUACUAUCCGGGAGACACACGGCGGGUGCUAACGUCCGUCGUGGAGAGGGAAACAACCCAGACCGCCAGCUAAGGUCCCAAAUUACUACUAAGUGGGAAACGAUGUGGGAAGGCUCAGACAGCCAGGAUGUUGGCUUAGAAGCAGCCAUCAUUUAAAGAAAGCGUAAUAGCUCACUGGUCGAGUCGGCCUGCGCGGAAGAUGUAACGGGGCUAAGUAGUAAACCGAAGCUGCGGCAAUAUACUUUUGUAUAUUGGGUAGGGGAGCGUUCUGUAAGCGGUUGAAGGUGUGUGGUAACGCAUGCUGGACGUAUCAGAAGUGCGAAUGCUGACAUGAGUAACGAUAAAGGGGGUGAAAAACCUCCUCGCCGGAAGACCAAGGGUUCCUGUCCAACGUUAAUCGGGGCAGGGUAAGUCGACCCCUAAGGCGAGGCCGAAAGGCGUAGUCGAUGGGAAACGGGUUAAUAUUCCCGUACUUCUUACAAUUGCGAUGGGGGGACGGAGAAGGCUAGGUGGGCCUGGCGACGGUUGUCCAGGUUCAAGUGCGUAGGCUUGAGAGUUAGGUAAAUCCGGCUCUCUUUAAGGCUGAGACACGACGUCGAGCACCUACGGGUGUGAAGUCAUUGAUGCCAUGCUUCCAGGAAAAGCCUCUA